AAUGAACGUUGGUGGCAUGGAUUAGGCAUGCAAGUCGAGCGAGAAGUGUAGCAAUACACGGAAAGCGGCGGAAGGGAGAGUAAUACGUGGGAAUCUGCCCUUAGACCUGGGAUAGCAGCGGGAAACUGCUGGUGAUACCAGAUAAUGUCUAUGGACCAAAGGUGUGAUUCCGUCUAGGGAUGAGCCCACGUCCUAUUAGCUAGUUGGUAGGGUAAUGGCCUACCAAGGCGAUGAUGGGUAGCGGGUGUGAGAGCAUGACCCGCCUCACUGGGACUGAGACACUGCCCAGACACCUACGGGUGGCUGCAGUCGAGAAUCUUCGGCAAUGGGCGCAAGCCUGACCGAGCGAUGCCGCGUGCGGGAUGAAGGCCUUCGGGUUGUAAACCGCUGUCGAGGGGGAGCAACUUCCAUAGAGUUAUCUUUAUGGAUUGAGUGAUCCCUGGAGGAAGGACGGGCUAAGUUCGUGCCAGCAGCCGCAGUAAAAC
rnacentral:rRNA from 1 species